rnacentral:lncRNA from 1 species
CCCCCAGUUUUUGGUGGGGUUCGUUUUGCAUAGUCUUUUGUUUUCUAUGUUAUUUCUUCUGUACUAUUAUUUGUCUGUUUGUCUUUUUAUUUUUAUACAUGGCGUUGUCAAUUUAUUUUCAACCUAUGAGUUUAACUAUCUCUCUCUCUGGUAUCUUUCGUCCCUCUUCUAAGAGAGCAGACUGAAUUUUAAUCAGAGUUUUUCGCUGUA